ensembl:lncRNA
UGGGCACUUACUGUAGGCUGAUAGGUUCAGGAUCAAGCACAUUUACACACAGACUGACACACACAUAAAUACUCUGAACAAGAUUACCAGCACAGCCCACAAGAGUAUAUGAGCCUUUGGAGUGCUUUUAUCAGAUUUGCCACCAUUUAUCUUCUAGAAAGCCAUGCUUAAAAUGAGGCUCCUCAAUUCAUGCAAUACAUUAAUGGAGCUUUACUGACUUGGUCAAAAAUGAUGUACAUAUCUUAUUUUAUACACAAUGUGAUAACUUGUCCUUGUGAUAGCUGAUUUGUCUUCAUUCACUGUACACUCUUCUCAGAGACUGGUAGGCUCUAGUUCUUUGUGGUCCAGUGUGGUUAAAUAUGUAAAAAUAUGUCUCGCGGAAGCCAGUUGCAUAAUAAACCAGCCUCUUUGUCCCCAUUCUGUAUCCCGUGGGAGAGUAUGUUCUUUUGAAAUGGCAUACCUAGCGCCUGAGAGGUCAAGGUAACCUGUGUGUCAGGCAUCCUGUCACUGAGCUGAGGAGCUGCUGCUGGAGAGACCGCUAGACCUAAUUUAGCUAACACCUUGUCAAGGAAUCAGCAACAUGCCGUGCCCGUUGGUCUCAGCAUAUGCAGCCCACAGUGGAAAGUUACAUAAAGUGAGACGCAGUGUGUGCGGUAAAGAUGACUGGCACUCCAGUGCUGGAGAGGAUCAUUAUCCUUGGCCAAGAGUGGAGGAUAUCUAACUCCGUAACUUCCCUGGUGGGGACCACUAGAGGUAAAAGCAAUUCAGGUACUUCCAGGAUACAUUUUCCCUUUUUAUUUCCACCUGGGACCUCUCAAAUGGCCUGCUGUGUUGUUUAAUGUGUAAGAGAGAAAGAGGGAUUAUUGUGGCGUAUUAAAGGUAGUGUGUAUGUAACAAAACACUUCUCUUUGUUGUGAUUUAUGGAAAACACUGUUUCAUUUCGAGAUUCAAGGAAUUUCAAGAGAGUAAAAUAAACAUUCUGUGUGACUUAAAAACAUGC